UAACGCGUGAAGGCGAGCACUCUAGACGAACUGCCGUUGGACAAAACGGAGGAAGGUGGGGAUGACGUCAAAUCAUCAUGCCCCUUAUGUUCUGGGCUACACACGUGCUACAAUGGCCGGUACAGACGGACGCAAAGCCGCGAGGUGGAGCAAAUCCUAAAAAGCCGGUCUCAGUUCGGAUUGCAGGCUGCAAUUCGCCUGCAUGAAGUCGGAAUCGCUAGUAAUCGCAGGUCAGCAUACUGCGGUGAAUACGUUCCCGGGCCUU
rnacentral:rRNA from 1 species